GCGCCAGCUUAAUACAUGCAAGUCGAACGGCAAGUUGAAUAGCAAUAUUUGACCUAGAGUGACGUACGGGUGCGUAACACGUAUGCAACCUACCCAAAACUGGAGGAUAGCUCGGGGAAACUCGAAUUAACCCUCCAUAAGAUCAUAGAGUAGCAUUACUUAGUGAUUAAAACUCCGGUGGUUUUGGAUGGGCAUGCGUCUGAUUAGUUAGUUGGCGGGGUAACGGCCCACCAAGACGAUGAUUAGUAGGGGAACUGAGAGGUUGAUCCCCCACACUGGCACUGAGAUACGGGCCAGACUCCUACGGGAGGCAGCAGUAGGGAAUAUUGGUCAAUGGGUGCAAGCCUGAACCAGCCAUGCCGCGUGCAGGAAGAAGGCGUUAUGCGUUGUAAACUGCUUUUGCCAGGGGAUAAAAUUUCCUUGCGAGGAACAUUGAAGGUACCUGGUGAAUAAGCCACGGCUAACUACGUGCCAGCAGCCGCGGUAAUACGUAGGUGGCAAGCGUUGUCCGGAUUUAUUGGGUUUAAAGGGUGCGUAGGCGGCCCUGUAAGUCAGUGGUGAAAUACUCUAGCUUAACUAGAGGGGUGCCAUUGAUACUGCAGGGCUUGAGUGGAGUCGAAGUAGGCGGAAUUGACGGUGUAGCGGUGAAAUGCUUAGAUAUCGUCAAGAACACCGAUAGUGAAGACAGUUUACUAGGCUUCUACUGACGCUGAGGCACGAAAGUGUGGGGAUCAAACAGGAUUAGAUACCCUGGUAGUCCACACUGUAAACGUUGAUUACUCGCUGUUGGCGAUACACAGCCAGCGGCCAAGCGCAAGCGAUAAGUAAUCCACCUGGGGAGUACGCCGGCAACGGUGAAACUCAAAAGAAUUGACGG
rnacentral:rRNA from 1 species